rnacentral:rRNA from 1 species
GUCCACGCCCUAAACGAUGUCAACUGGUUGUUGGGGAUUUAUUCUCUUAGUAACGAAGCUAACGCGUGAAGUUGACCGCCUGGGGAGUACGGUCGCAAGAUUAAAACUCAAAGGAAUUGACGGGGGCCCGCACAAGCGGUGGAUGAUGUGGAUUAAUUCGAUGCAACGCGAAAAACCUUACCUACGCUUGACAUGUCCGAAAGCCCGAAGAGAUUUGGGUGUGCUCGAAAGAGAAUCGGAACACAGGUGCUGCAUGGCUGUCGU